rnacentral:rRNA from 1 species
ACGCACGCUGGCGGCGUGCUUAACACAUGCAAGUCGAGCGGUAAGGCCUUUCUGGGUACACGAGCGGCGAACGGGUGAGUAACACGUGGGUGAUCUGCCCUGCACUUCGGGAUAAGCCUGGGAAACUGGGUCUAAUACCGGAUAUGACCUCCUAUCGCAUGGUGGGUGGUGGAAAGAUUUAUCGGUGCAGGAUGGGCCCGCGGCCUAUCAGCUUGUUGGUGGGGUAAUGGCCUACCAAGGCGACGACGGGUAGCCGACCUGAGAGGGUGACCGGCCACACUGGGACUGAGACACGGCCCAGACUCCUACGGGAGGCAGCAGUGGGGAAUAUUGCACAAUGGGCGAAAGCCUGAUGCAGCGACGCCGCGUGAGGGAUGACGGCCUUCGGGUUGUAAACCUCUUUCAGCAGGGACGAAGCGAAAGUGACGGUACCUGCAGAAGAAGCACCGGCUAACUACGUG